rnacentral:misc_RNA from 1 species
AGAGGGGGAGGGGUGGUAAUUUGUUAAGUGAUUCAAUGUUGUUUAACUCUCAGAAAUGAAUGUAAGACACAAGAAAUGUGCGUUUGUUAUUGUUAAGUGUACAUGUAAGUUAAUUUCUUCAGUUUAUACUGAGAUGUAUUAUCUGUGACCAUCAGAAUAAUUUUUUGUUUGAUUUUGUACAUUAAAAUAAUGUUUGGUUUAAAUUUUUUUCAAAUGACUGUCAGACAAUGUACAUAUCAUAUUUAUGUACCAGGUACUAUAUAUUAUAUUGUUUGUGGUUUUGUAAAAAUAUUGUGUAUUGUGUGUCGUGCUUGUGAAAUACAUGUAUGAUGUACAAGUACAUGUACUUAAAUAAAGAGUCAAAAAUACGCAAAAU